rnacentral:rRNA from 1 species
UUUUCGCAAUGCCCGAAAGGGUGACGAAGCGACGCCGCGUGGGUGAGGAAGGCCUUCGGGUUGUAAAGCCCUGUCAGGAGUUAAGAAAUGUAGACUCGCUAAUAUCGGGUCUAUUUGACAAAGGCUCCAAAGGAAGCCACGGCUAACUCUGUGCCAGCAGCCGCGGUAAUACAGAGGUGGCAAGCGUUGUUCGGAAUUAUUGGGCGUAAAGAGCACGUAGGUGGAUUUGUAAGUCAGACGUGAAAGCCUUCUGUUCAACGGAAGAAUUGCAUCUGAAACUACAAACCUUGAGUGUAGGAGGGGAGAAUGGAACUUCUGGUGGAGCGGUGAAAUGCGUAGAUAUCAGAAGGAACGCCGGCGGCGAAAGCGAUUCUCUGGCCUAUUACUGACACUCAGUGUGCGAAAGCUAGGGGAGCAAACGGGAUUAGAUACCCCGGUAGUCCUAGCCGUAAACGAUGGGCACUAAGUAGAGGGGUUUUA